rnacentral:rRNA from 1 species
UACGGAGGGGGCGAGCGUUAUUCGGAAUUAUUGGGCGUAAAGCGCGCGUAGGCGGACCUGCAAGUCGGGGGUGAAAGCCCGAGGCUCAACCUCGGAACUGCCUUCGAUACUGCGGGUCUCGAGUCCGGGAGAGGUGAGUGGAAUUCCUAGUGUAGAGGUGAAAUUCGUAGAUAUUAGGAAGAACACCAGCGGCGAAGGCGGCUCACUGGCCCGGUACUGACGCUGAGGCGCGAAAGCGUGGGGAGCAAACAGG